AAAAAGACAAACUCUAGGUUUCCAUGUCCAACGUUUGACUGUCCGUCUUAUAUGAAUUUUUUUUAUAAUUAGUAUUUUCAUUGUUGUUAGAUGAUAAAAUAUGAUUAAUACUUUAUGCGUGACUUGUCUUUUUAAUUUUUUUUAUAAUUUUUUCAAAUAAGACGGACGGUCAAACGUUGGACACGGAAAUCAGGGUUUAUUUAUU
rfam:Oryza sativa Japonica Group DNA, chromosome 7, cultivar: Nipponbare, complete sequence.